rnacentral:misc_RNA from 1 species
CAACCCUCAAGCCUAGCUUGGUGUUGGGCGUUUGUCCCGCCUCCGCGCGCCUGGACUCGCCUCAAAAGCAUUGGCGGCCGGUUCCCAGCAGGCCACGAAGCGCAGCACAGCAAGCGCUAAAGUGGCUGCGGGUCGGCGCACCAGAAGCCCCCCAUAUCAGAA